GAUGAACGCUAGCGGCAGGCCUAACACAUGCAAGUCGAGGGGUAGAGGAAGCUUGCUUCCUUGAGACCGGCGCACGGGUGCGUAACGCGUAUGCAAUCUACCUUGUACAGAGGGAUAGCCCAGAGAAAUUUGGAUUAAUACCUUAUAGUAUUAUUGAAUGGCAUCAUUUAAUAAUUAAAGUUCCAACGGUAAAAGAUGAGCAUGCGUCCUAUUAGCUAGUUGGUGUGGUAACGGCAUACCAAGGCUACGAUAGGUAGGGGUCCUGAGAGGGAGAUCCCCCACACUGGUACUGAGACACGGACCAGACUCCUACGGGAGGCAGCAGUGAGGAACAUUGGACAAUGGGCGCAAGCCUGAUCCAGCCAUGCCGCGUGCAGGAAGACGCAUCUAUGGUGUGUAAACUGCUUUUGUACGGGAAGAAACACUCCCUCGUGAGGGAGCUUGACGGUACCGUAAGAAUAAGGAUCGGCUAACUCCGUGCCAGCAGCCGCCGUAACAC
rnacentral:rRNA from 1 species